AGUGAACGCUGGCGGUAGGCCUAACACAUGCAAGUCGAACGGCAGCACAGUAAGAGCUUGCUCUUACGGGUGGCGAGUGGCGGACGGGUGAGGAAUACAUCGGAAUCUACUUUUUCGUGGGGGAUAACGUAGGGAAACUUACGCUAAUACCGCAUACGACCUACGGGUGAAAGCAGGGGAUCUUCGGACCUUGCGCGAUUGAAUGAGCCGAUGUCGGAUUAGCUAGUUGGCGGGGUAACGGCCCACCAAGGCGACGAUGCGUAGCUGGUCUGAGAGGAUGAUCAGCCACACUGGAACUGAGACACGGUCCAGACUCCUACGGGAGGCAGCAGUGGGGAAUAUUGGACAAUGGGCGCAAGCCUGAUCCAGCCAUACCGCGUGGGUGAAGAAGGCCUUCGGGUUGUAAAGCCCUUUUGUUGGGAAAGAAAAGCAGCAGGUUAAUACCCCGCUGUUCUGACGGUACCCAAAGAAUAAGCACCGGCUAACUUCGUG
rnacentral:rRNA from 1 species